rnacentral:rRNA from 1 species
GCAUAUCAAUAAGCGGAGGAAAAGAAACUAACUAGGAUUCCCUUAGUAACGGCGAGUGAACCGGGAUGAGCUCAAAUUUAAAAUCUGGCGUCUUUCAGGCGUCCGAGUUGUAAUCUAUAGAGGCGUUUUCCGCGCCGGACCGCGUCCAAGUCUCUUGGAAUAGAGUAUCAAAGAGGGUGACAAUCCCGUACUUGACGCGACAACCGGUGCUC